rnacentral:rRNA from 1 species
CCAGACUCCUACGGGAGGCAGCAGUGGGGAAUAUUGCAUAAUGGGGGAAACCCUGAUGCAGCGACGCCGCGUGAGCGAUGAAGUAUUUCGGUAUGUAAAGCUCUAUCAGCAGGGAAGAAAAUGACGGUACCUGACUAAGAAGCCCCGGCUAACUACGUGCCAGCAGCCGCGGUAAUACGUAGGGGGCAAGCGUUAUCCGGAUUUACUGGGUGUAAAGGGAGCGUAGACGGCGGUGCAAGCCAGAUGUGAAAGCCCGGGGCUCAACCCCGGGACUGCAUUUGGAACUGUGCUGCUAGAGUGUCGGAGAGGCAGGCGGAAUUCCUAGUGUAGCGGUGAAAUGCGUAGAUAUCAGGAGGAACACCGGCGGCGAAGGCGGCCUGCUGGACCGUAACUGACGUUGAGGCUCGAAAGCGUGGGGAGCAAACAGGAUUAGAUACCCCCGUA